CCUACGGGGGGCAGCAGUGGGGAAUAUUGCACAAUGGGGGAAACCCUGAUGCAGCGACGCCGCGUGAGUGAAGAAGUAAUUCGUUAUGUAAAGCUCUAUCAGCAGGGAAGAAAAUGACGGUACCUAAGUAAGAAGCCCCGGCUAACUCCGUGCCAGCAGCCGCGGUAAUACGUAGGGGGCAAGCGUUAGCCGGAUUUACUGGGUGUAAAGGGAGCGUAGACGGCAGUGCAAGUCUGGAGUGAAAGGCGGUGGCUCAACCGGCGGACUGCUCUUGAAACUGUACGGCUGGAGUGCAGGAGAGGGAAGUGGAAUUCCUAGUGUAGCGGUGAAAUGCGUAGAGAUUAGGAGGAACACCAGUGGCGAAGGCGGCUCACUGGACUGUAACUGACGUUGAGGCUCGAAAGCGUGGGGAGCAAACAGGAUUAGAUACCCCAGUAGUC
rnacentral:rRNA from 1 species